rnacentral:rRNA from 1 species
GUCCCUAUCUGCCGUGGGCGUUGGAAGAUUGAGGGGGGUUGCUCCUAGUACGAGAGGACCGGAGUGAACGCACCGCUGGUGUUCGGGUUGUCAUGCCAAUGGCACUGCCCGGUAGCUACGUGCGGAAGAGAUAACCGCUGAAAGCAUCUAAGCGGGAAACUUGCCCCGAGAUGAGUCUUCCCUGGGCCCUUGAGGCCCCUGAAGGGACGUUUAAGACGAAGACGUUGAUAGGCUGGGUGUGUAAGCGUAGCGAUACGUUGAGCUAACCAGUACUAAUGACCCGAGAGGCUUAACCUUACAACACCGAAGGUGUUU